rnacentral:tRNA from 1 species
AAAUAAGAAUUAAUAUUAUUAAAUUUAAUUUCGACUUAAUCCUAGGAAACUAUCUUUCCCUUAUUUU